rnacentral:lncRNA from 1 species
UAUUUAAGGAAUGACUGUAAUAUUCUUUCUGUCUAUGAAGAAAUAACAUAAAAAAUUUGGUGCACACUGAAUAACGCGCGUAGCGGGUUAUUUAAUAGUGUGCACCACAUUUUUUAUGUUAUUUCGAAUAGACAGAAAAAAUAUUACAGUCAUUUCUUAUAAUUUAAUUCUAAAUUCCAUUUUACACCGUAGAAAACCAUGAAAAAACGUUG